GAAGCAAAAGUAAAAGUACGUGAACAGACGAUAAAAGUCGGAGUUAGGGAUAUUAAUGGAGAUGAAGAUUCUGAUAAUGCAGAGAAAUGGACAAGAAAAAUAAAUAUUUAAUUUUUUUUUUUUUCAACGGAAGCACCAAUAGAGAAUUUGUAUAGCUCUGACUCACGGUAUAUUGAUCGUGGAAUCAAUUAGAACUUUUUCACAAAAAGUUAAACGGGGAAAAUUCAUAAUGGGCUACAUUUAGUGACUCAAUUUAAACGUCAUGAUUAGAACGAGUUUGAAUUCCAAUAAGGCAGUGGAAAUAAAUAUGGAACCAAUUCCCAAGUUGGGUCGAUUCAGUUAACAAUGUAAACUCUAGGUCAGCUUGCAUAAAAUCAAAGGACGAGUUAGGUUGUUCUGUUCAACUAAACUUGGAGAGAAUUGUUGUCUUGCAGGAAAGAUUUAGGAUGGAUUUAAGAAAACUUUUUCAUAACUUCAUUUAGAUGGCAUGAUCAUAUUUCUAUUUGACUAUAAUUUUCAAGAUGUUUUUCUAUGAGAAAGGAACUUUUUAAAACAAGAUUUGCUAGAAUCCAAUGGAAAUACUAAUUAAUGGCCUACUUCUGAGAGUUGAGAAAUAAUAAAAAAAAGCAAUUUUGUGUGGAUUAAACCUAGAUUUAUGCAUUAGUCUUUUUGAGUCAAAGAUCUGAGAUUUGCCAUUCUAAGCAAGAACUUUUCAUGCCAUGAUGUACAAUUUUAAUAUGAUAUAGCUAUAAUCUUUUCACCUUAAUCACAUUUAGCUUUAGAAGAUCAUUUAAAAUAGUACCUUGCCUACUUCUGGAUAUACUUUUGUAAGAAGACAAUGAUGGAGACUAACAUUAAAAAAAAAAUAAAGAAAUCUGAGGCUCUGGAAUAACCUUAAGGCAUCUUAUUACUAGAAGUUUUAGUAUAUUUCUUUCUAACUUUUAUCUCAAAUGUUCUGAUUUUUUGUCACAUCUUGUAAUCUCGUCUUUUACUUCUUUUAAACAAAAAAAAAAAGAGAGAAACUCGAAGUUCUGGAAUAACCUAAGGCAUCUUAUUACUAGAAACGUUUAGCAUCUUUCUUUCUAACUUUGUCUCAAAUGUUCUGAUUAUCUGUCACAUCUUGUAAUCCCGUCUUAUACUUCUUCAUUUAACAUAAAAAAAAGGGAGACAAACUCGGAGGCUCUGGAAUAACCCAGGGUAGCUUAUUAUAGAUAUAGAAGUGUUUAGUAUCUUUCUUUCUAACUUUUGGCUCAAAUGUUUUGAUUUUUUAACACAUCUUAUGAUCUUGUUUUGUACUUCUUCAUUUACUCUUCAUUAACAAGGGUUUACACCAAAAUGUUUCCUAAAAAAAGUAUCAUUUAUCUAAUGCAUUUACAAUUUAACACUUUCUCCCCAAAAAUAUUGAUUUCGACAUAGGAUGUAAGUUCAAUUAUAACGAGUCAUAUGCAUAAUUUAUUUUAUUUAUAACAGCUUAGCACAUAAACUCAGUAAUACCCACUUUAUAUUUUGUCGUGAGAAGAUGUAUAAAAGUUAGUUUCAUUUUACUUAUUAAAAAAAA